rnacentral:rRNA from 1 species
CGAGAAUCUUCCGCAAUGGACGAAAGUCUGACGGAGCGACGCCGCGUGGAGGACGAAGGCCUUCGGGUUGUAAACUCCUGUCACGAGUUAAGAAGUGUAUGUCAUUAAUACCGGCAUGCAUUGACGAAUGCUCGAGAGGAAGCACUGGCUAACUCUGUGCCAGCAGCCGCGGUAAUACAGAGAGUGCGAACGUUGUUCGGAAUUACUGGGCUUAAAGCGUACGUAGGCGGCGUGACAAGUGUCGGGUGAAAUCCCACGGCUUACCCGUGGAACUGCCUGGCAAACUGUCAUGCUAGAGUGUGGUAGGGGAGAACAGAACUCAUGGUGGAGCGGUGAAAUGCGUAGAUAUCAUGAGGAAUACCGGUGGCGAAGGCGGUUCUCUGGUCCACAACUGACGCUGAGGUACGAAAGCUAGGGUAGCGAACGGG